rnacentral:rRNA from 1 species
CGGCCUACCAUGCAGUCGAGCGGUAACAGAAAGUAGCUUGCUACUUUGCUGACGAGCGGCGGACGGGUGAGUAAUGCUUGGGAACAUGCCUUGAGGUGGGGGACAACAGUUGGAAACGACUGCUAAUACCGCAUAAUGUCUACGGACCAAAGGGGGCUUCCGCUCUCCCCUUUAGAUUGGCCCAAGUGGGAUUAGCUAGUUGGUGAGGUAAUGGCUCACCAAGGCCACGAUCCCUAGCUGGUUUGAGAGGAUGAUCACCCACACUGGGACUGAGACACGGCCCACACUCCUACGGGAGGCAGCAGUGGGGAAUAUUGCACAAUGGGCGCAAGCCUGAUGCACCCAUGCCGCGUGUGUGAAAAAGGCCUUCGGGUUGUAAAGCACUUUCAGUCAAGAAGAAAGGUUAAUAGUUAAUACCUGCUAGCUGUGACGUUACUGACAAAAAAAGCACCGGCUAACUCCGUGCCAGCACCCGCGGUAAUACGGAGGGUGCGAGCGUUAAUCAGAAUUACUGGGCGUAAAGCGUACGCACGCGGUUUGUUAAGCGAGAUGUGAAAGCCCCGGGCUCAACCUGGGAACUGCAUUUCAAACUGGCAAACUAGAGUGUGAUAGAGGGUGGUAGAAUUUCAUGUGUAGCGGUGAAAUGCGUAGAGAUCUGAAAGAAUACCGAUGGCGAAGGCAGCCACCUGGGUCAACACUGACUCUCAUGUACGAAAGCGUGGGGAGCAAACAAGAUUAGAUACCCUGGUAGUCCACGCCGUAAACGAUGUCUACUAGAAGCUCAGAACCUCGGUUCUGUUUUCAAAGCUAACGCAUUAAGUACACCGCCGGGAGAGUACCGCGCAGGUUAAAACUCAAAUGAAUUGACGGGGCCCGCACAGCGUAGAGCAUGUGUUUAAUUCGUGCACGCGAGACCUUACCUACACUGACAUACAGAGACUUACAGAGAUGGUUGUGCUUCGGAACUCUGAUACAGNGCUGCAUGGCUGUCGUCAGCUCGU